rnacentral:rRNA from 1 species
GCGCAGUCGUUGGCGGCAGGCUGGGGACUACGGGGGGUGCGAGCGUUGUGCGGUAUUACUGUGCGUAAAGGGCUCGUAGGCGGCCAACUAAGUCAGACGUUAAAUCCCUCGGCUUAACCUGGGAACGGCGUCUGAUACUGGAUGGCGUGAGGUUGGGAGAGGGAUGCGGAAUUCCAGGUGUAGCGGUGAAAUGCGUAGAUAUCUGGAGGAACACCGGUGGCGAAGGCGGCAUCCUGGACCAAUUCUGACGCUGAGGAGCGAAAGCCAGGGGAGCAAACGGGAUUAGAUACCCUAGUAGUC